UCUGCCGCUUGAGCUCAAAUUCCCGUGAGCUGGAAUGAGCCAGAAACCUGAAACUUGGCCCAAUGAUUGGAAAUGAUGGGCAUCAACUUUUAUUAAAAUAUGAGCCCAGUCGGCCACAUGGUGGCGCUGUAAUUAAGGCUUAAAAAUGACUUUUUUGGGAGGCCACGCCCCUCACACCAUAAGUCUGAUUGACUUGAAAUUUGACACACAGGUCCAGCUCAAUGUGCUCUACAAAAAAGCCUCAAGGACCAUUAAGCUCCGCCUGACUAGAUUUUUUGCUAAUUUGCAUAAUUUGAAAAACAGUAAAGUGACAUAAACUUUUUACAAUUUUGACUCCAUCAACACCAAAUCUGGUACACGGCUUUGGGGGAUGACAAGACACAUUUCUAUUACAAAUGAGCCAGAUUGGUCAAAAGACAUGGCCGCCACGGACCAAUGAAUCUUUGCUGUGGGCGGAGCUUAGAAUUGAUUGGCCAUAACUCCCACACCCUUUGACCUAUCAUCACCAAACUUGGUGGGUAGGUCCACAAUGAGACUUGGAAGCUGCCUACCAAAGCAUUUUGAGCUCAGCCUAUAGGGGGCGCUAUAAAUGCCACACAUCUGUAUCUCAAAGACCAUUGGAUGGAAUUUCACCAAAUUUGGUAUGUAUGCUCUAGGGGUGGCUAUUAACGAAUAUCUUGAUUGCCAUGUUGACAGGUGAAAGUGGGCGUGGCCUAUUCGUCAUUAACCGUCAUAAUUUGCGUUUUAUUAAUGUAUGACCAGCUGGAAGGACCUAGGGACAUGAAACAAGGUACAUGGACUAUAAAUGACAUCCAAAUACUGCUCAAAAAUUUGGUCCCAAUCGGCCUUAUGGGGGCGCUAUAACAUAGAGUGUAAAGCUUGAAAGGCUCUGUCCGCCGCACCACAAGUGCUAUUGACUUGAAAUUUGACACACACAUACUCCUGAUAGUCCUCUACAAAAAAGCCUCUUGCACCAUGAAUGCCGCCCUUACAGAAUUUUUGCUAAUUUUAAUAAUGUUAAAAACAGUAAAAUGAAUAAACUUUUGAAAUAUUUGUGCUAUCAACAUCAAACUUGGUAUGAGGCAUCGGGGGACCAAGACACUCAUUUCUAUUAUAAAUGAGCAAGAUCGGAUGAAAAACACGGCUGCCGUCAAGCAAAGUGUCCUUGGAAAGGGCGGGGCUUAGCGAAUAUCGGCUGUAAAAUGUUAACCGUUUUUCCCAUCGUCACAAAACUGGGUAAAUAUCAUCAGAAGGGGACCAAGAACACACCCAAAAAAAGAUUUUGAGAUCAGCCUAUAGGGGGCGCUAUAAAUGCCACACAUCUGUAUCUCAAAGACCAUUAGAUGGGUAAAAAACUUAGAUGUGACUUGGAAAGAGUAUGUAUUAAUGGGAGCUUUCAGGGACAGAGGGGAGAACGUCUUGAACUACGGCAGAUGAGGGUCACGGUGGGUGGUGAGGGUCACGGUGGCUGGUUUGGGGCGGAACAGGUUAGAUCCCACAGAUUGCUGCUUGCGGCUAUAUUUAGGGUUCUAACCCCGAAGGGGUAGAACCCUUCUAAAAUUGUACCGGUUUAUUAUUAUUAUUAUUGGUUUUUUUUGUUGUCUGCCGCUUGAGCUGAAAUUCCCGUGAGCUGGAAUGAGCCAGAAACCUGAAACUUGGCCCAAUGAUUGGAAAUGAUGUGCAUCAACUUAUAUUAAAAUAUGAGCCCAGUCGGCCACAUGGUGGCGCUGUAAUUAAGGCUUAGAAAUGACUUUUUUGGGAGGCCACGCCCCUCACACCAUAAGUCUGAUUGACUUGAAAUUUGACACACAGGUCCAGCUCAAUGUGCUCUACAAAAAAGCCUCAAGGACCAUUAAGCUCCGCCUGAAUAGAUUUUUCGCUAAUUUGCAUAAUUUGAAAAACAGUAAAAUGACAUAAACGUUUACAAUUUUGACUCCAUCAACACCAAAUUUGGUACACGGCUUUGGGGGAUGACAAGACACAUUUCUAUUACAAAUGAGCCAGAUUGGUCAAAAAACAUGGCCGCCACGGACCAAUGAAUCUUGGCUGUGGGCAGAGCUUAGAAUUGAUUGGCCAUAACUCCCACACCCUUUGACCUAUCAUCACCAAACUUGGUGGGUAGGUCCACAAUGAGACUUGGAAGCUGCCUACCAAAGCAUUUUGAGCUCAGCCUAUAGGGGGCGCUAUAAAUGCCACACAUCUGUAUCUCAAAGACCAUUGGAUGGAAUUUCACCAAAUUUGGUAUGCAUGCUCUAGGGGUGGCUAUUAACUAAUAUCUUGAGUGCCAUGUUGAUAGGUGAAAGUGGGCGUGGCCUAUUCGUCAUUAACCGUCAUAAUUUGCGUUUUAUUAAUUUAUGACCAGCUGGAAGGACCUAGGGACAUGAAACGUGGUACAUGGACUAUAAAUGACAUCCAAAUACUGCUCAAAAAAUUUGGUCCCAAUCGGCCUUAUAGGAGCACUAUAAUUAUCUCCAGAUGUCUCCCAAAAUUAUCAUGAUCAUGGAACUGUGAUUGCUUAAACACUAAAAUACCUAUUGAAACUUUGAAAUACGCAUCAAUAGGUAAAACUUCAAUUUAUGUUUUGAUGUUCAAAUGGAGUCUCUAUGUGAAAGUAUACCACAAAUGUUAUUAGCAUGUAGGCAAGCUGAAAACCCGAUUUCAAGAAAUGUGUGACUUGGAAAGAGUAUGUAUUGCUUGGAGCUUUCAGGGACAAAGUGGGGAACGUCUUGCACUAAGGCAGAUGAGGGUCACGGUGGGUGGUGAGUGUCACGGUGGCUGCUUUGGGGCGAAACAGGUUAGAACCUGCAAAUUGCCGCUCGCGGCUAUAUUUAUUAUUAGGGUUCUAACCCCGAAGGGGUAGAACCCUUCUAAAAUUGUACAGGUUUAUUAUUAUUAUUAUUAUUAUUAUUAUUAUUAUUAUUAUUAUUAUUAUUUUUUGUUGUCUGCCGCUUGAGCUCAAAUUCCCGUGAGCUGGAAUGAGCCAGAAACCUGAAACUUGGCCCAAUGAUUGGAAAUGAUGUGCAUCAACUUUUACUAAAAUAUGAGCCCAGUCGGCCACAUAGUGGC